rnacentral:rRNA from 1 species
GAUGAACGCUAGCGGAAGGCUUAAUACAUGCAAGUCGAGCGGUAGGUGGCUUCGGCCAUUGAGAGCGGCGCACGGGUGAGUAACGCGUACAUGACCUGCCUGUCAGAAGGGGAUAGCCCUGGGAAACUGGGAUUAAUACCCUAUGGUAUUGAUAUUAUGAAUGAUAUCAAUUAAAGUUGAGGCGCUGACAGAUGGAUGUGCGUCUGAUUAGCUAGUUGGUAGGGUAACGGCCUACCAAGGCGACGAUCAGUAGGGGCGUGAGAGCGUGGUCCCCCACACGGGUACUGAGACACGGACCCGACUCCUACGGGAGGCAGCAGUAAGGAAUAUUGGUCAAUGCCCGCAAGGGUGAACCAGCCAUUCCGCGUGGAGGAUGAAGGCCCUAUGGGUUGUAAACUUCUUUUAGAUGGGAAGAAAAUGCUAGAUGUAUCUGGUACUGACGGUACCAUCAGAAUAAGCACCGGCUAACUCCGUGCCAGCAGCCGCGGUAAAACG